rnacentral:rRNA from 1 species
CCUACGGGAGGCAGCAGUGAGGAAUAUUGGUCAAUGGCCGGAAGGCUGAACCAGCCAUGCCGCGUGAAGGAAGAAGGCUUUCGGGUUGUAAACUUCUUUUGUCAGGGACGAAGCAAGUGACGGUACCUGACGAAUAAGCCACGGCUAACUACGUGCCAGCAGCCGCGGUAAUACGUAGGUGGCAAGCGUUAUCCGGAUUUACUGGGUGUAAAGGGCGUGUAGGCGGGACUGCAAGUCAGAUGUGAAAACCACGGGCUCAACCUGUGGCCUGCAUUUGAAACUGUAGUUCUUGAGUACUGGAGAGGCAGACGGAAUUCCUAGUGUAGCGGUGAAAUGCGUAGAUAUUAGGAGGAACACCAGUGGCGAAGGCGGUCUGCUGGACAGCAACUGACGCUGAGGCGCGAAAGCGUGGGGAGCAAACAGGAUUAGAUACCCGAGUAGUC